rnacentral:rRNA from 1 species
UUUCCGGUUGAUCCUGCCGGACCCGACUGCUAUCAGUAGUGGGAUUAAGCCAUGCGAGUCAACGUAGUAAUACGUGGCAUACGGCUCAGUAACACGUAGUCAACAUGCCCAGAAGACGUGGAUAACCUCGGGAAACUGAGGAUAAACCGCGAUAGAUCAUAAUAUCUGGAAUGAUUUAUGGUCCAAAUCUAUAUGGCUUCUGGAUUGGACUGCGGCCGAUCAGGCUGUUGGUGAGGUAAUGGCCCACCAAACCUAAAACCGGUACGGGCUCUGAGAGGAGAAGCCCGGAGAUGGGCACUGAGACAAGGGCCCAGGUCCUAUGGGGCGCAGCAGGCGCGAAAUCUCUGCAAUAGGCGGAAGCCUGACAGGGUUACUCUGAGUGAUUUCCGUUAAGGAUAUCUUUUAACACCUUUACAAAUGGUGUGGAAUAAGGGGUGGGCAAGCCUGGUGUCAGCCGCCGCGGUAAUACCAGCACCCCGAGUGGUCGGGACGAUUAUUGGGCCUAAAGCAUCCGUAGCCGGUCCUGCAAGUCUUCCGUUAAAUCCACCUGCUUAACAGAUGGGCUGCGGAGGAUACUACAUGACUAGGAGGCGGGAGAGGCAAGCGGUACUUAAUGGGUAGGGGUAAAAUCCGUUGAUCCAUUGAAGACCACCAGUGGCGAAGGCGGCUUGCCAGAACGCACUCGACGGUGAGGGAUGAAAGCUGGGGGAGCAAACCGGAUUAGAUACCCGGGUAGUCCCAGCUGUAAACGAUGCAGACUCGGUGAUGAAUAGGCUUCGUGCCUAUUCAGUGCCGCAGGGAAGCCGUUAAGUCUGCCGCCUGGGGAGUACGGUCGCAAGACUGAAACUUAAAGGAAUUGGCGGGGGAGCACCACAAGGGGUGAAGCCUGCGGUUCAAUUGGAGUCAACGCCGGAAAUCG